GGGAUGUUCUUAGAAUCCCCGUGUGCGGGAGUGUUAAUAGUGGCGCAUUUGGCCGUGUUCCAUGGUUAGUGAAUC
rnacentral:ncRNA from 1 species